rnacentral:tRNA from 1 species
GCCUGGGUGGCUCAGUCGGUUAAGGGCAUGACUAUGGCUCAGGUCACGAUCUCACAGUUUGUGGGUUCGAGCCCCACAUCGGGCU